AGUGAACGCUGGCGGUAGGCCUAACACAUGCAAGUCGAACGGCAGCACAGGAGAGCUUGCUCUCUGGGUGGCGAGUGGCGGACGGGUGAGGAAUACAUCGGAAUCUACUCUGUCGUGGGGGAUAACGUAGGGAAGCUUACGCUAAUACCGCACACGACCUACGGGUGAAAGCAGGGGACCUUCGGGCCUUGCGCGAUUGAAUGAGCCGAUGUCGGAUUAGCUAGUUGGCGGGGUAAAGGCCCACCAAGGCGACGAUCCGUAGCUGGUCUGAGAGGAUGAUCAGCCACACGAGAACUGAGACACGGUCCAGACUCCUACGGGAGUCAGCAGUGGGGAAUAUUGGACAAUGGGCGCAAGCCUGAUCCAGCCAUACCGCGUGGGUGAAGAAGUCCUUCGGGUUGUAAAGCCCUUUUGUUGGGAAAGAAAUCCAGCUGGCUAAUACCCGGUUGGGAUGACGGUACCCAAAGAAUAAGCACCGGCUAACUUCGUGCCAGCCGCCGCGGUAA
rnacentral:rRNA from 1 species